CGGUAGAGGUUUCGUAUCCUACGCGUACGAGGACGAACGGCUGGCGGGCGUGCUUAACACAUGCAAGUCGAACGGUGAAGCGCCUUCCUUUUGGUGGGUGUGGAUGAGUGGCGAACGGGUGAGUAACACGUGAGUAACCUGCCCCCUUCUUCUGGAUAACCGCAUGAAAGUGUGGCUAAUACGGGAUAUUCUGGGUCUGUCGCAUGGUGGGUCCGGGAAAGGUUUUUUCUGGUGGGGGAUGGGCUCGCGGCCUAUCAGCUUGUUGGUGGGGUGAUGGCCUACCAAGGCGGUGACGGGUAGCCGGCCUGAGAGGGUGGACGGUCACACUGGGACUGAGACACGGCCCAGACUCCUACGGGAGGCAGCAGUGGGGAAUAUUGCACAAUGGGUGCAAGCCUGAUGCAGCGACGCCGCGUGAGGGAUGGAGGCCUUCGGGUUGUGAACCUCUUUUCGCCAGUGAAGCAGGCCUGCCCCUGGUGGGUGGGUUGACGGUAGCUGGAUAAGAAGCGCCGGCUAACUACGUG
rnacentral:rRNA from 1 species